CUCUGGCUGCUCUCUGAGCUCACCCAGCCUGUGACCAAGUCAAGCCAUUGGUGCCACCAGCACUAGGUGAAAUUCAAUUCCAAAUAUGUAAAGACUGGAGCCCACCACUCACCAAGGCUUCAUCUGCUGAGCAGAUCUUCAAAGGAACUGAGAAUGAGAGCUGUGUUUCACAAUUGGCUUGCAAUAUUCCUGAAAAUUUAACCAUCGGCUCUCAUGAGCUGUUACGAAUCAUUCCAGUAAACCAUCAGGACCGGCAGUGUUUCAACAAGCCCUCCAGAUCUCUGGGUGCUGAGUGGAGGUUGGGCUGUGAGAAGAAGAGUGGAAGCAGGGAAAUGCAUUGGGAGACCAUUGGAAGAGUCCAAGGACCAAAUAACAUGACCUGGAAUGGAAGUAGCCAGCUUUGGGGGACAUUACAGGGGAUAAGCAGAUUGGACUGACUGAGGGGUUGUACCAAACUCUU